GGGCUUCGGCAUUUUAAUAACAUCAGUUAACGAACGUAUGUAUGCUUCAGCACAGCUGUUCGGAUCGUUUAGUUGACAUUCGAGCGGUAAUCAAAGCUGACUCUAUAUCGCUUAAGUUAUAGCUGUCGAAGUGGAUUGUGUCGUGGUAGUCGAUUACUUGUGCUCAAAUACUGUUUGCACUUUGCUUUGCAUAUCUUCUCAGCUCGUUUGUGCGGUUGUUUUUGUUUUGUUGACGUCUGUAGAGAGAGAGAGAGAGACGCCUUUGCAAUAGCUGAUAUAUUGCCGCUUCGUGUUUAUUUUUUUUUUUAAUUAUCGUGUUUGGUAAACAGAAAAAACUUCAAUUAGAUCGAACAAACAUUUGUCGCAUGCUAUAAUUAUUUUUUUUUGUAUCGAGUGCCGCUUCGGUUAUGAGUUACUCAAUGCUUCAACAUAGCUUAUCGUGUCCGCUGAUAAAUGGUUGAAUGAGACAUAUGCUUGUUUACGCAUAUGCAUACAUACAUAUAUAAUAUAUAUAUAUGUACACACACACACACGAUGAUUGCAGCCAUAGUGAGUGUGCAUCGCCGAUGAUUUCAAUUGUAAAAUAAAUAAAUUUUGAAGUGAAAAAAAUUGUAUCAGCGCUUAUCAGCAGACAAUAUACAUACACACAUACAUACAUACGUAUGUAAAUAUAUACAUGCUUUCGAGUAUUGUGUUCACAUACAUACAUUAUUGCCCAUCCAUUUAUUUGCAAGCACUGAAGCACUUUUGAAAUGGAUUUGCUUUUGUAAAACGAAGUGUAUUUCAUGUUGCUUUCAAUUUAAAAAUACAUAAAACAAAUAAAAAAAUUUAACAACCAAUAAAACACACGUGCAAUAAAUCAAACAAAUAAAAGGUUGUGGUAAAAAAAUUAUAUGGUAAAAAUGUUCGCAUUUUGAAGCCAGCCGCUUAUUAAACUGUCAAUUUGAAGUCGAGUUGAAGCGGAAUUACACGGAAUAAAUUGGCUUUUUACAAAAAUAUUUCCAUGCAGUUUGUGAGUAAUUACGUCAAGUGUUGUGGCUAAAAAAUAUAAGUGCAUAAAAUAUUUGAACACCCCAAUUUAUAAGUAAUUUAAGUCGCAAUCAACAAAAUGCGUUUGCCCCCUUGCAUUGAAGGUGGCACAUCCAGGCUUCUCAAGAAAUUCCCUAAAAUCAAAAUGUGUGAUGAAUUUGCUAUACAACCAAUUCUGAUUCGGAAGCAACCGAAAUUUCCGACGCGUGAGCGCCACAUGGCUAUUCGCCGUAAGAAAUCGACAGCACUGCACAGCAAUAAUCAAACCCCAAACAACUACAACAUCAACCAUAAUAAGACUAAUGGCAAUAAUUCGCUUACAAG